GACGAACGCUGGCGGCGUGCUUAACACAUGCAAGUCGAACGGAAAGGCCCUGCUUUUGUGGGGUGCUCGAGUGGCGAACGGGUGAGUAACACGUGAGUAACCUGCCCUUGACUUUGGGAUAACUUCAGGAAACUGGGGCUAAUACCGGAUAGGAGCUCCUGCUGCAUGGUGGGGGUUGGAAAGUUUCGGCGGUUUGGGAUGGACUCGCGGCUUAUCAGCUUGUUGGUGGGGUAGUGGCUUACCAAGGCUUUGACGGGUAGCCGGCCUGAGAGGGUGACCGGCCACAUUGGGACUGAGAUACGGCCCAGACUCCUACGGGAGGCAGCAGUGGGGAAUAUUGCACAAUGGGCGGAAGCCUGAUGCAGCAACGCCGCGUGCGGGAUGAAGGCCUUCGGGUUGUAAACCGCUUUCGCCUGUGACGAAGCGUGAGUGACGGUAAUGGGUAAAGAAGCACCGGCUAACUACGUG
rnacentral:rRNA from 1 species